rnacentral:rRNA from 1 species
GACGAACGCUGGCGGCGUGCUUAACACAUGCAAGUCGAACGGAAAGGCCCUGCUUUUGUGGGGUGCUCGAGUGGCGAACGGGUGAGUAACACGUGAGUAACCUGCCCUUGACUUUGUGAUAACUUCAGGAAACUGGGGCUAAUACCGGAUAGGAGCUCCUGCUGCAUGGUGGGGGUUGGAAAGUUUCGGCGGUUGGGGAUGGACCCGCGGCUUAUCAGCUUGUUGGUGGGGUAGUGGCUUACCAAGGCUUUGACGGGUAGCCGGCCUGAGAGGGUGACCGGCCACAUUGGGACUGAGAUACGGCCCAGACUCCUACGGGAGGCAGCAGUGGGGAAUAUUGCACAAUGGGCGGAAGCCUGAUGCAGCAACGCCGCGUGCGGGAUGACGGCCUUCGGGUUGUAAACCGCUUUCGCCUGUGACGAAGCGUGAGUGACGGUAAUGGGUAAAGAAGCACCGGCUAACUACGUG